rnacentral:tRNA from 1 species
GCGGUUGUGGCUCAGUGGUAGAGCACUUGCCUAGUAUGUAUGAGGCACUGGGUUUGAUUCUCAGCACCACA